GACGCGGUGGCCAAAUAGUUGCGGCGUUGGACUCUGGAUCAAGCGAUCCGGGUUCGAGCCCUGGCCGGGGUCA